rnacentral:rRNA from 1 species
GUGUCAGCCGCCGCGGUAAUACGUAGGGUGCAAGCGUUAAUCGGAAUUACUGGGCGUAAGGCGUGCGCAGGCGGUUAUAUAAGUCAGAUGUGAAAUCCCCGGGCUCAACCUGGGAACUACAUUUGAGACUGUAUAGCUAGAGUACGGUAGAGGGGGAUGGAAUUCCGCGUGUAGCAGUGAAAUGCGUAGGUAUGCGGAGGAACACCGAUGGCGAAGGCAAUCCCCUGGACCUGUACUGACGCUCAUGCACGAAAGCGUGGGGAGCAAACAGGAUUAGAUACCCCCGUAGUCC